rnacentral:snoRNA from 7 species
GAGAGUGAUGAUUUCACAGACUAGAGUCUCUGACGCUGUCCUUGAUGUCAGCUAUAAAUCUGACUC